UGUUGUCACAACACUGGUGACAUCACAGGAGAUGCCAGGGCUCUCCAGGAUACAAUAGAAUGUUUCAGAAAGAGACUGCUGAUGCCAUAUUGUAUAGUCCUUGACUCCCUGCUAACUAGCUCACCUCAAACUGACUUUAAUACAAGGAAUGUAACAUCUGCUGAAUGCACAGUGCAAGGAACACUGAACUUGGGAUAUUCUGGCACUUGUCAUUCAAAGUAUAAAAGACGCAACUUUGGACACAUUACUGGAUACAUUAAUAAAACGUUCACUGUAUGAUUGUUCUUGCAGAGGACCCAGCUUCCAUUCCACAAGGUAGCUCCCAACCCUCCCUAACUCCAAUUCCAGGUGAUAUUCUGCCAUCUUUUGGCUUUUUUGGGUACUGCAAAAAUGUUUUGGGGUUCUGCAAAAAUGAAGAUUUUAAAUGUGUCGAGUAUUAUAUUUUUACUGACACCCUCACAACCUAUUCUCAUGUGUGGGUUCAUGUGUUAUGUCUUUUCUGGUAACUUCCUUCUUCUUGUUCUUUGAAACUGGGUCCCUCUCUGUAUUCCUGACAGUACUGGAACUCAUUAUGUCUGUAAACUGUGCUAGCCUCAAACUCACAGCUAUCCAACUGACUCUGCCUCCAGGAGCUACAGUAAAAGAGGGUACCUCCAUGCCCCACCUUUGGGGGUAACUGUUUUGUUUUGUUUUGUCUUUUGAGACAGAAUCUCACUAGGUAGCCCAGACUGUCUCGAAACUUGCUAUGUAGGCUAGGCUGGCUUAGGACACAGAGAUCCACCUGCCUGUGCAUCUCAAGUGUUGCUCUCAGUGCUACAGUGACGAAUCCCUCAUUGGCAUAAGGAGUCAAGGAAUCCCUGCUCAUUCACCUCAGUUCAGAUUUGGUUUUCUGUCUUACAGGUUGGAAAAGAAGUAUAUCUUAUACUCGUCAGCUUUGAUUGUGGUCAGCACCAUUGGGCAGCUUGUGCAUAAUGAGAAGUAGCUGUGCCCAGGAGGAGGUCAUGUUUCUCACAGACAGCAUGGAUUCACACUCUCCUCCAUCAGCAUGGCCUCCACAGGUGGUGGCCAGGCAUGAGCAGCAAGCAGGGUGACCAACAUUGGUGCCAUUCGGACUCGGAUACACCACCAAGCACCAAGGACCUGCUGUGACUGCUGCCACCUGCCACCUCUUCCCCCAUCCAGUGAGACUGGGAGACAAUGAGACCGCAAGACUGUGAGUGCCACCUCCACUGGACCCCCACACAACUACCACUACCAUCACCACAUUCCCUUGUUCUAACUCACUGUUCAGCUAAUGGUACAGGACCACCACAGAACCGGAGUCCAGAGAUCAUCACAUGAGAAACUAUAACAACUAAAGCAUCUUGUCAAACAGAAAGUUCCCAGCCACAGCCAAGAGGGAUACAUGUCUCCAGAGCAAACAGGUAACAGACAGCAUCCCAUAUUGCCUGUCUACCUUAGAAGACUCAAGAGGCAACCGACAUCCAAUUGUCAGCUGGAAGCAGUUUUUGAGAGGAACAAUGCCCCUAUUCCCAUUUACCUGCUUUUUUUAUAAUAAAAAAAAGUCUGGGAUGUAA